rnacentral:rRNA from 1 species
UGAGUAACCUGCCCUUAACUCUGGGAUAAGCCUGGGAAACUGGGUCUAAUACCGGAUAUGACUCCUCAUCGCAUGGUGGGGGUGGAAAGCUUUUUUGUGGUUUUGGAUGGACUCGCGGCCUAUCAGCUAGUUGGUGUGGGUAACGGCCCACCAAGGCGACGACGGGUAGCCGGCCUGAGAGGGUGACCGGCCACACUGGGACUGAGACACGGCCCAGACUCCUACGGGAGGCAG